CCUACGGGUGGCAGCAGUGAGGAAUAUUGGUCAAUGUGCGAGAGCCUGAACCCGCCAAGUCGCGUGACGGAUGACGGCCCUACGGGUUGUACACUUCUUUUGUCAGGGCGCAAUUGGGUCCACGCGUGGGCUUAGCUAGAGUACCUUAAGAAACAGCAUCGGCUCACUCCGUGCCAGCAGCCUCGGUAAUACGGAGGAUGCGAGCGUUAUCCGGAUUUAUUGUGUUUAAAGGGUGCGUAGGCGGAAUAUCAAGUCAGCGGUAACAAUUCGGGGCUCAACCCCGUCGUGCCGUUGAAACGGAUGUUCGUGAGUGUGCGAGAAGUAUGCGGAAUGCGUGGUGUAGCGGUGAAAUGCAUAGAUAUCACGCAGAACUCCGAUUGCGAAGGCAGCAUACCGGCGCCCAACUGACGCUGAAGCACGAAAGCGUGGGUAUCGAACAGGAUUAGAUACCCCAGUAGUC
rnacentral:rRNA from 1 species